rnacentral:rRNA from 1 species
UACGGAGGGGGCUAGCGUUGUUCGGAAUUACUGGGCGUAAAGCGCACGUAGGCGGCUUUGUAAGUUAGAGGUGAAAGCCCAGGGCUUAACCCUGGAAUUGCCUUUAAGACUGCAUCGCUAGAAUUGUGGAGAGGUAAGUGGAAUUCCGAGUGUAGAGGUGAAAUUCGUAGAUAUUCGGAAGAACACCAGUGGCGAAGGCGACUUACUGGACACA